CCUAGACACCGACAUAUUUUUCGCGAAAGACGAUGAAAAUCAAUGUUGGAGAAAAUGUUUUGCAGGAAGAUCCAUAUUGUCACGUUUUGCGUCAAGAGUAUCGAGGAUCUCGCUGUGACAUGUGUUUUGAUUCUCCCGAUGUCUUAAAAAAAUGCACAGGAUGCAGUGGGGUAUAUUAUUGCAAUCGCGUUUGUCAGAAACAAGAUUGGACAGUUCACAAGCUGGAGUGCAAAUGUCUGAAGGCUAUUGCUCCUAAGAUUCCGAUGGAUUCUGUGAGAUUUCUGUUGCGAUUGGUCAUCAGCCUGAACCUCAAUCUUCCCAUGAACAAUCCGUGGUCGAGAACUGUCGAAGAUUUGAUGUCUCACACGGAUGAAAUCAAAGCUGACCCAGAUCGAAGUGCGCAGUUUACAAAGGUCGCUUACACACUGUCCGAGUAUGCAGGGAAAACCGUCACAUUACCUGACUUGCACGGGCUUCUCAAACUGUAUGGAAAGAUUGUUAUCAACAGCUACACAAUAUAUGAUGGUGGACUGAGAGACCUCGGUCAUGGGAUAUAUCUCAGUUCCAGCAAGCUCAAUCACAGCUGUCGACCGAAUGCCGUUGCAACAUAUCACGGUGUGAAGCUGUUAGUCAAAGCAGUGAGGGACAUUCCAGAUGGGACCCAUGACAAAGUGUUUAUAACCUACAUUAACCAGAUGUCUCCCUUAGAAGACAGACAGGAGGCUUUGGGAAAGCAGUACUACUUCCAGUGUGCAUGCGAGAAGUGUAAUGAUAAAGAAAUUAUCGAGAACGAGAUCAGUUUUUGUUGCCCUAAUUCUCAAUGUUGUGGAGCUGUAAGCCUCAACAAAAAUCGUGUAUUUGGGAGCUGUCGGCUGUGUGGUAAGUCAGACUUUCCUGCCAACCUGAGGGAUAGAGCCUUAGCUGUCCUAGACGCGUGUAAAACCAGAUUGGGGCAGAUAGAGGAGGAAAGGAAAGACAAUAAAUGGAAAGAGAUGUUGGACGGUUGCGAGGACCUUCUGCGAAAAUCUGCCGGCAUCCUGCACGCCAACAACAUCUAUCUGGUCGGGGUCCUAGAUGGAGCAUUCUGUGCUGCAAUCUAUGUUAAAGAGUAUGAACUCGCUGCGAAAUACGGAGCUCGAACACUGGACCCGUACAGACUCUACUACGGUGACAACAGCUGGAACGUUGCCUUGCAUCUGUUCACGGUCGGAAGGAUGCAGCUGCAACUCAAGGACAGGACGAAGGCCUUGAAGUUGCUGAAAAUGUCGCGUAAAAUCUUGGCCGUUACCCACGCCACAGAACACAAGAUUUACAAGAGGGGGGCGUUGACUGAGGAACGGUGUAGGGAAGAGUUGAGAAUAGUUUCAAUUCUGAAACCAGGCGCUGUUUUUACUAAUUUGGAUUUUUUAUACCUACAAAAUGUUUCUACUCCUCCUACAGAAAAUAAAUAAUGUAAUGUGAACAAGCCCAGUCUAUAAUAUACCAGUGCUGAACUUGAUGGAUUGUGUUAAGAUCGGUAUUUAUCCUUUUAAACAACAUGGGCGGGAUAUGUCUACAGUGAACCUUGUUAAUACUAUAUACAUUUGUUGUCUUGUUUAGAAUAAUUGUUUUUAUGUUAUCUUAGAUCAGUUAAAACUGUCUGUUUAAGAAUAUGGCUGCCAUGGGAUUUUGCAGUUUAGCUUUCAAUGUUUGCUGAAGUUGAACAUUUUCACUCCGCUUCAAUCAAUCAAUCAAAUUCUUUAUUUACCCCAGAAUGGGGAUUUUGAACAUGUUAUAAUAACAGUUAUCUACAAAUUCUGAUAUAAGUGCAUAAUAAAUAUACCUCUGCAUGUGAUACAAUUGAAAUGUAUGAUAGACACACAGUGUUUUUUUUUUCAAGUCCAUGAAUACUAUUUACAAAAUUAAGUACUUGUUACAGGAUAUUUAACAUAGACAUAAUUUACAAGCAAUAUCUUAUACGUUUUACAAUAAAAAUGUAUAACAGUUUCAGAAAAACAAUGUUCUCUUACUCCGAGUAUGGGUUCUAUUGGAGCCCCGAGCAUUCUCAAGCUCAUGUCUAUACUGUCCAUAGAUUCGAGUAGCUGUUUAACGUCAUUUCCGAGUGCAGUGUCUAUCUGGUCGAAGUAACUGUGUCUCAACGAGGACGACACUUCACAUUCACACAAAACAUGUGCCAGAUGGUUGUAAUAUAUGUGUUCGCAUAGAUCACAUGUGUUCAUGGCCAAUUGAAAGGGCCUACACCACAGUUUUGCUAUAGUUAGUACCGUAUCUCUAAAGCUACAUGUCUUUGAAACAGAAUAUAAGACGACCGGUUUAAAUAAUGGGUGCACAACACGAUAAAAAAAGAAAUUCAUUGUCGCUGGAGAGUCGUUGCUCUAAACAAUUGUUUUCAAGCCUUAGAACAGAGUGCUUCAGAACGCGUUUCCAAAUUAAUUUUAGGGGCAGUCAAUCCAUGUUCUUUACAUUCAUUAACAAUAAAAUAGAGAUUGUGCUUUCUUAAAAGACUACAAAUAUCUGGAAUAAAACCCAUUUGCACCAAUUUAUUAUCAGACUUGUACACUAUGAAUUUGUUUAUAAAGAGUUUAUGGGUGAUUGUGUCAUCGGGUAGUGACAAUAUCUGAUGUAGGAACAUUUACUUCUUUAUUUCAAUAGCUGCUGAUAAUGUGGAGACCAAUUAUUGAUUCGGCCAUAUCUGAGCGUGUUCUUAUGGGUAGUCCUUGAAUCUGCUUGGCGAUGAAAUGCUGGAAGCGAUUUAUACUAAAACGUGUAUUUGGGAGCUGUCGGCUGUGUGGCAAGUCAGACUUUCCUGCCAGCCCGAGGGAUAGAGCCUUGGCUGUCCUAGACGAGUGUUAAACCAGAUUGGGUCAGAUAGAGGAGAAAAAGAAAGACAAAA